AGUGAACGCUGGCGGUAGGCCUAACACAUGCAAGUCGAACGGCAGCACAGUAAGAGCUUGCUCUUACGGGUGGCGAGUGGCGGACGGGUGAGGAAUACAUCGGAAUCUACUUUUUCGUGGGGGAUAACGUAGGGAAACUUACGCUAAUACCGCAUACGACCUACGGUUGAAAGCAGGGGAUCUUCGGACCUUGCGCGAUUGAAUGAGCCGAUGUCGGAUUAGCUAGUUGGCGGGGUAAAGGCCCACCAAGGCGACGAUCCGUAGCUGGUCUGAGAGGAUGAUCAGCCACACUGGAACUGAGACACGGUCCAGACUCCUACGGGAGGCAGCAGUGGGGAAUAUUGGACAAUGGGCGCAAGCCUGAUCCAGCCAUACCGCGUGGGUGAAGAAGGCCUUCGGGUUGUAAAGCCCUUUUGUUGGGAAAGAAAAGCAGCAGGUUAAUACCUCGCUGUUCUGACGGUACCCAAAGAAUAAGCACCGGCUAACUUCGUG
rnacentral:rRNA from 1 species